rnacentral:rRNA from 1 species
UAGUCCACACCGUAAACGCUGUCUACUAGCUGUUUGUGAGUUUAACUCGUGAGUAGCGAAGCUAACGCGCUAAGUAGACCGCCUGGGGAGUACGGCCGCAAGGUUAAAACUCAAAUGAAUUGACGGGGGCCCGCACAAGCGGUGGAGCAUGUGGUUUAAUUCGAUGCAACGCGAAGAACCUUACCUACUCUUGACAUACAGAGAAUUUUCCAGAGAUGGAUUAGUGCCUUCGGGAACUCUGAUACAGGUGCUGCAUGGCUGUCGUCAGCUCGUGUCGUGAGAUGUUGGGUUAAGUCCCGCAACGAGCGCAACCCUCAUCCUUUGUUGCCAGCACGUUAUGGUGGGAACUCUAAGGAGACUGCCGGAGUUAAUCCGGGAGGAAGGGUGGGGGAUGGACGUCAAGUCCUCAUGGCCUUUAUGGGCCUGGGGCUACACACGUGUUACAAUGGGCAGU